rnacentral:misc_RNA from 1 species
GAUGAAGAACGUAGCGAAAUGCGAUAAGUAAUGUGAAUUGCAGAAUUCCGUGAAUCAUCGAAUCUUUGAACGCACAUUGCGCCCCCUGGCAUUCCGGGGGGCAUGCCUGUCCGAGCGUCAUUUCAGCCCUCCAGCCCGGCUGGGUGUUGGGCGCUGUCCCCCCGGGGACACGCCCCAAAGGCAGUGGCGGCGCCGCGUCGGGUCCUCGAGCGUAUGGGGCUUUGUCACCCGCUCGGGACGGACUCGUCGGCGCUGGUCUUCCUCCAGGCGACCCUUCGGGGCUCGUCUUCCUUCGGUUGACCUCGGAUCAGGUAGGGUUACCCGCUGAACUUAAGCAUAUCAAUAAGCGGAGGA